rfam:Dipodomys ordii contig_49427, whole genome shotgun sequence.
GGUGGCUCAGUGGUAGAGUGCUUGCCUAGCACGCAUGAGGCCCUGGGUUCGAUUCCUAAGCACCA